rnacentral:pre_miRNA from 1 species
UCUUAUGGAUGAGCAAAGAAAGUGGUUUCUUGAGAUGGAAUCUACUUGUAGUGAGGAUUCUGUGAA